rnacentral:rRNA from 1 species
GACGAACGCUGGCGGCGUGCCUAAUACAUGCAAGUAGAACGCUGAAGGAGGAGCUUGCUUCUCUGGAUGAGUUGCAAACGGGUGAGUAACGCGUAGGUAACCUGCCUGGUAGCGGGGGAUAACUAUUGGAAACGAUAGCUAAUACCGCAUAAGAGUAGAUGUUGCAUGACAUUUGCUUAAAAGGUGCAAUUGCAUCACUACCAGAUGGACCUGCGUUGUAUUAGCUAGUUGGUGGGGUAACGGCUCACCAAGGCGACGAUACAUAGCCGACCUGAGAGGGUGAUCGGCCACACUGGGACUGAGACACGGCCCAGACUCCUACGGGAGGCAGCAGUAGGGAAUCUUCGGCAAUGGACGGAAGUCUGACCGAGCAACGCCGCGUGAGUGAAGAAGGUUUUCGGAUCGUAAAGCUCUGUUGUAAGAGAAGAACGAGUGUGAGAGUGGAAAGUUCACACUGUGACGGUAUCUUACCAGAAAGGGACGGCUAACUACGUG